CGUGUAGGUGGUUUUGCAAGUCAGAUGUGAAAUCCCUGGGCUCAACCCAGGAAGUGCAUCUGAAACUGCAUGGCUAGAGGACGGUAGGGGAAGGUGGAAUUCCUAGUGUAGAGGUGAAAUUCGUAGAUAUUAGGAGGAAUACCGGUGGCGAAAGCGGCCUUCUGGGCCGUUCCUGACACUGAGACGCGAAAGCGUGGGUAGCAAACA
rnacentral:rRNA from 1 species